rnacentral:rRNA from 2 species
CAUGCAAGUCGAGCGAACAGAUGAGAAGCUUGCUUCUCUGAUGUUAGCGGCGGACGGGUGAGUAACACGUGGGUAACCUACCUAUAAGACUGGGAUAACUCCGGGAAACCGGGGCUAAUACCGGAUAAUAUUUUGAACCGCAUGGUUCAAUAGUGAAAGACGGUUUCGGCUGUCACUUAUAGAUGGACCCGCGCCGUAUUAGCUAGUUGGUAAGGUAACGGCUUACCAAGGCGACGAUACGUAGCCGACCUGAGAGGGUGAUCGGCCACACUGGAACUGAGACACGGUCCAGACUCCUACGGGAGGCAGCAGUAGGGAAUCUUCCGCAAUGGGCGAAAGCCUGACGGAGCAACGCCGCGUGAGUGAUGAAGGUCUUCGGAUCGUAAAACUCUGUUGUUAGGGAAGAACAAAUUUGUUAGUAACUGAACAAGUCUUGACGGUACCUAACCAGAAAGCCACGGCUAACUACGUGCCAGCAGCCGCGGUAAUACGUAGGUGGCAAGCGUUAUCCGGAAUUAUUGGGCGUAAAGCGCGCGUAGGCGGUUUCUUAAGUCUGAUGUGAAAGCCCACGGCUCAACCGUGGAGGGUCAUUGGAAACUGGGAAACUUGAGUGCAGAAGAGGAGAGUGGAAUUCCAUGUGUAGCGGUGAAAUGCGCAGAGAUAUGGAGGAACACCAGUGGCGAAGGCGGCUCUCUGGUCUGUAACUGACGCUGAUGUGCGAAAGCGUGGGGAUCAAACAGGAUUAGAUACCCUGGUAGUCCACGCCGUAAACGAUGAGUGCUAAGUGUUAGGGGGUUUCCGCCCCUUAGUGCUGCAGCUAACGCAUUAAGCACUCCGCCUG